rnacentral:rRNA from 1 species
GACGAACGCUGGCGGCGUGCUUAACACAUGCAAGUCGAACGGAAAGGCCCCUUUGGGGGUACUCGAGUGGCGGACGGGUGAGUAACACGUGAGUAACCUGCCCUUUACUUCGUGAUAACUUCAGGAAACUGGGGCUAAUACCGGAUAGGAAUCCUUGCUGCAUGGGGGGGGUUGGAAAGCUUCUGCGGUUUUGUAUGGACUCGCGGCUUAUCAGCUUGUUGGUGGGGUAGUGGCUUACCAAGGCUUUGACGGGUAGCCGGCCUGAGAGGGCGACCGGCCAUACUGGGACUGAGAUACGGCCCAGACGCCUAAGGGAGGAAGAAGUGGGGAAUACUGAACAAUGGGCGGAAGCCUGAUGCAGCAAGGCCGCGGGCGGGAUGACGGCCUUCGGGUUGUAAAACGCUUUCAGCAGGGGCGAAGCUUGUGGUGACGGUACCUGCAGAAGAAGCACCGGCUAACUACGUG